rnacentral:rRNA from 1 species
CUACGUGCCAGCAGCCGCGGUAAUACGUAGGGGGCAAGCGUUAUCCGGAUUCAUUGGGCGUAAAGCGCUCGUAGGCGGUCUGUUAGGUCGGGAGUUAAAUCCGGGGGCUCAACCCCCGUUCGCUCCCGAUACCGGCAGACUUGAGUUUGGUAGGGGAAGGUGGAAUUCCUAGUGUAGCGGUGGAAUGCGCAGAUAUUAGGAAGAACACCAGUGGCGAAGGCGACUUUCUGGACGAAAACUGACGCUGAGGCGCGAAAGCCAGGGGAGCGAACGGGAUUAGAUACCCCGGUAGUCCUGGCCGUAAACGAUGGGUACUAGGUGUAGGAGGUAUCGACCCCUUCUGUGCCGGAGUUAACGCAAUAAGUACCCCGCCUGGGGAGUACGACCGCAAGGUUGAAACUCAAAGGAAUUGACGGGGGCCCGCACAAGCGGUGGAGUAUGUGGUUUAAUUCGACGCAACGCGAAGAACCUUACCAGGUCUU